rnacentral:siRNA from 1 species
UCUAAUUAUGAAUAGUAUACUGC